GAGGAGAGAGGGAGGGAGGGCGUCGGCGGAGGGAGGGAGGGCGCGCGGAGGAGAGGAGGGUGGGUGUAGCGGCGGCGGCGGUGGGGGAGGAGCUUGGCGCUACUCGUCGUCGCCUCCCUCCUGCUCCUCGUGCUGACGCCGCCGUCGCCCCUCCUCGUCGUCGUCCCGUUCCGCCGCGUUGUCGUUGGGGCUGAUUGACGGCGGGGCCUUAAAGUACAGGCGGCGCGCACGACUCACGGCUGCGGGGGGGCGGCUUGGGAAGGGCUUUGGUUCGUGGGCGGCGCGGCCUUUUCGCCGAGGGGAUGGGAGUAGGCCGCCGCCUCCACGUCACGCGGCAGACUCCGAGAGGCCGGCGGCCGACGCCCCCGCGCCUGUACCGCCCCCGACGCGCCCCGGCCCCGCGCUACGACGACGAUGAGCAGCGCAAGCACGAGCGCGGGGAGCACGAGAUGCCGGUGAAGGGGCAGAGCGGGGAGGGUCUGAGGUAGCACCGGUUUCCGCGCAAGCUAGCCCCCCGCCCAGGCCGAGGUUAGACCACACCGGCGUAUACCGGCGCAGGCUCCAAAGAGAGCGGUUUCCCCUCGGGCGAAAAGGAGGGGGGAAAGCAAAACGAACGGAUUAGAGCCCUUCCGUACUCAAAGUGACCGACAUCUAAUCUAGCACUUUUACCAUCUCUAUCUAACUCAGACAAAAGUGGAGUCAUGCUUGUUCAUUUGGUUGCAGUACGCGUAAAAAACCACUUCGUCAGCCGUCAACUCAGUAGGAAGCCGGUGGCGUAGACUAAAAAACAACCUUGAGACACACUUAACGAAAAACAUCUAAACUGCUAACUCUCCGAUCCCCUCGUGUUCUUGGCCCACGAGAGCCGCUGACUGUUGACCGUUCGUCAACUCCAUCGGUCCUCGGUAGGUAGUCUUUUCUUUUAACUAUGCACCCUCCUGGGACCCACCGCCCUACGGGUAGUCCACCAACGACACCCUUUACUGUCACGAGUCAGCUGUGUCCUACUGUACUAUUUCCUUCAACAAUCGUGGCUGUCUGCUCGUCUACCGAAAGCACUAGGGCCGCUAUCGUUCCAUCGACUUCUCGUCCUACCUGUUCCCUACCUACUUUUUCUCAACGUCCUACGUUGACUCGAUCUCGUGUUUCUACCUAGACCACGUAGUCUCUUAUUGUAACGACCUCGAGUAUGAUGACGUUUGGACUGUAGCAGAAACCUUUUCCUUUCGCGACGACUAUGUAAUAGACUAGUACUAUCAUAGUUACGACUAGAGCGGUGUAGUCGUUCACCGUGACCAGUAAGGCGUUGAAGGGGUCUACGAUGUUAGGCGUAAUAGUUCCUGGUUAACUAUUCUCGUUUCUGUAUUAGCACCGUAAGAUCGAAGAUCUCCUUUAGUACCAUGGCGGUUCCUCAAUGCACGUGCUUGCUUUCUAUAGGUCGCUCGUGACCCACUACGUUGGCUACUACCCUACGAAGGAGUCUUCAUGAAAGAGAAAGUGAUAUGAUGUCCUCGUAUACCACAGCACAGAGAGUUCGUGUCACGGGCCGAGGCCAAGCAGUGUCUUCGGGUGCCUUUCGUCGUUUCAACUCGUACGCCACAGCGCGAACACUACGUGUCACGAACCGAGGCCAUGUAGUGUCUCCGGCCGUCGUUCCUUGUGUCGAAGGACGGGAACGGAGACAUUUAGUAGUUCCUCCUUUUUACACGUUCUACGAACUUCAAAGGGGAACUUUGCUUCCAGAACCCGGAAACAAACAUGUAUAUAAGGGAACUAAACAUGACUGAGAGGUUAAUUAAUAAGUCUCUCGAUACCGGUAUGUUCCUUUAGUUUUCAAAGUCAACGUACAUCGUUCCUUCCAGUUAAACUGUGCCGCCACGACGGUAAACGGGGAGGGAAGAGGGAGCUUUUACACCAACUGCGAGGGGUCUAGAAGUCCAACGUACUGUUCUAAAAAAGGACACCUUGUAUAACACAUAGAAGGUAGCCAGUACCAUUGUUCCGCCAGAAUCUAACGAGACAUGAUUACUAACAGAACUCCCUAAUAAAGUAAGUAUGACGAGACUUAAUUAGUAUAAGAGGACGAUGGAGUAAUGCAAUCAUACCAUGUUGAAACGACUUUUUUGGUAACAGGCAUAAACAUCAUGUCUGACAUCCUAGGUGAUUGUAGAUAAAUGACGAGACCUAAUUAAAAAUCGAAGAAUAAUGGACACCCUCAGGGUCAUAAUGUUAUAUAUCGAGUAUCACCGAGUGUUUAGUAUUAUACCAGGUAUGCAUGUUAUAUACCGAGUAUUACUUGUAGAUUUCUAUAGAAAAGUUUGUUAUAUCGUUUCAACUGAGGAAUCUUAAUAAUAAAACCAUAACAAGUUUUAAAGACAUUAAUGACACUACUAUCGUCGCUAUUUCUAGUAGCCUCCAAGGAAUAAGAGCAAAAGUAUUAAAACCUCUAAGAUAAGUUAACUUUUGUUAGUACGGUAGUAUAUAAGUAUCAAGUAGAGACCUGAUCUUCACUUUACGUUUAUCUGGAAAGUUUAACUGUACCAGGUCCCUGUUCGAGUAUACCUACUAUGACGGACGUCUCAUUUAAGUUUAGUUUUAGUGUAUACCUACACAGGCUCCUGUUCAAACAGACUAUUUUCCGUUCCUACUUUCUCACUCAUAUUGGUAGUUGACCAGUGUUAAACGGCUUCGUCGGUUAUAAUUUCCAGUAUAAACACAGAAGCAGAAACUCCUCCGAGUUUUCGUGGUUGUGAGACAGGUAUUGGAAAAGAUUCCAGCCAUACACUUAAUAACUGAAGAACGAGUAUAUAUCCAAUUUAGUUCUGUGAAUAAAGGCCUCCCUCCCUCAUAUAGUAUCAGCAUCAAGUGAAGAUACGGCACAAAUUCACAAGAAUAUCUAAUUGAGUUUGAUAUUGAUACCGAACGAAAACAAUACAGUAUGGUUUAGAGCUACGAGAACCAUCAAAGACGACGUAAAAGACGGGUUACGUACAUUACCUUGAAACACAAACCGACCCUCAUAGAUGAAAGAUAAUGGUUGGUUUAGAGAGAGACGGACGAAACGUAAAGGCAAACACGAUAUAUAACAGAUGAUGGCCAAAUCGAUUUUGUCCUUUUACACCCCAAGAAACGUAAAGGCAGACACGAUACAUAAAAGAUGAUGACCUAAGAAUAUACGUUAAUACAUGUCAAGAGAAGGGGGGAAAUCAAAGAGUGUAAAGAGGAAGUAGAAGGACACUGACAUAAAAAGAGAACACCCGUUUCUCAUGAACAGGAAGUUCAUCUAUCCAUACUAAUAUGUUAACGAACCAGAAGGCACGAAUAAUUUCUACUAGUACCACAAUUAACUUUCCUAAAAGAGGACCGACGAAAUGUGACUGAAAAAAAGAUAAAUUUUUUAACCAUGCUCAUGCAACGUUGUUUCUGUUACAACCAGGUAUCUCAGGAUGUAAGGAAAGGGCCACUCAGAUGUAACAACGUACAGUCCAUCGUAUGUAUGAAGAAAAAGAAACCGUAGGUGUAAUUGAAGACGGGGUAGGUACGACUUUAGAUAACUUUGUAUAGGGAAUGACAUAUAACAAGACAAUCACUCGGUUAACAAAGGGUAGCCGACUAAAAGUCAAACUCCGACCUUUUUAGAUAGGUACGAUUGAGGGGGAGAAUGGAUAACUUACUUAAAUCAAUUUUGUAAGUAGAUAAUAAAGUCCUUGUGGGGGAACCCAUACGUCGUCGCUAAAGGAUACAACUUAUAACAAGUAAUGUUGUUACUUUAGUUGGACGUCUGAGUCGAACGUUUCCACCUCUACCUCUCUUUCAACAACUACGAGUUCGGUACGCUAAUACAUACCUCGUUCUACUUGGAUGGGUGAAAACAUACCAAAUAAGAAUCCAACACAUAACACCGUAACUGUGCUAAAAAAAUAACAACGAUUACAACUGGUAAGUACUUACAAGUUAACAAAUCUCAACUUAAACUCCUAUAUCGUCGCUAUGUUCUUUUUUCAACACUACGUAGACAAAAUAAAGAAUCAAAAGAAUGUUUAUAGUUGUCUAGAAGUUACAAAAGAAAUCUCUUAUCUAGUGGUAAUCAAACCUAGAGUGUAUACAAACCAAUUCAACACUAAGAUUUUAUACAC
rnacentral:rRNA from 1 species